rnacentral:rRNA from 1 species
UACGUAGGGUGCGAGCGUUGUCCGGAAUCAUUGGGCGUAAAGCGUCCGCAGGUGGCAGUUCAAGUCUGCUGUCAAAGACCGGGGCUUAACUUCGGAAAGGCAGUGGAAACUGAACAGCUAGAGUAUGGUAGGGGCAGAGGGAAUUCCUGGUGUAGCGGUGAAAUGCGUAGAUAUCAGGAGGAACACCUGCGGUGUAGACGGCUUACUGGACCAUAACUGACGCUGAGGCACGAAAGCGUGGGUAGCAAACAGG